GGAAGGAUCAUUAAUGAAACGUCGAAUGAAAGCGUGGCGGGAGUCUCCUCGCUUCUGCGGCACUCCCGUCUAUGCGUCCACACACACCCUGUGCACCACGCAGCGGACGUCUCUCUCCCUGUUCUGCAGGGGGGUACGGAGGUGUCCGCUGUCCCUCCUUGUAUUUACAAAUGCCAGUGACGAAGCAUGUCUAGUGACGAAAAAGUUAACAUUACAACUUUCAACAACGGAUCUCUUGGCUUUCGCAUCGAUGAAGAACGCAGCGAAAGCGCGAAACGUAGUGUGAAUUGCAGAAUUCAGUGAAUCAUCGAAUCUUUGAACGCACCUUGCGCUCCUUGGUAUUCCGAGGAGCAUGCCUGUUUGAGUGUCGUGAAGUCCCUCGAACCCCCGUGGCACUUUUACUGUGCUUUCGGGGGGUCGGAUUUGGACGUUGCCGGUGACCCCUCUUUUCAAAGGGGGGUGCGGCUCGUCUCGAAAUGCAUUAGCCGUUCCCACAUCGGUUCCGCAGACGGUGGCGUGAUAAAGUCUUAUUCGCUCGCGUCGGCGGUAACAAAUGGGGGUGGCUCACAGUCGUCCCACCGGGACAAAGGAUGGAAACGUCUCAAAUCC
rnacentral:rRNA from 1 species